AAAGCAACAAAGGGAGCUCAAGUGGAGACUUCCUCAGCAAAAGCAUUGCACUGCUUAAAUGAUUCAGCUUUUGAGUGAAAUGAAAGGCGGGACUAAGACCAGGAAGAACCACGACCUACCCUACUCCGGAGUACGGACCCCAGGAGGACUAACAGCCUCUGGGCUCUCGAACAGCACAGAGUGUAAGGGGUUCGGGAGGAGGGUCUCGUCAUCCCAGUCGGUCCUGUGACAUAGUGUUCUUGAUCCCUGUGUACUGUCGAAGACACAGAAAGCAGAGGUCCCACAGCUAGAAGGUGGGGAAGGUCACCUCUGGGCAAUGCCAGAUGGUCUCUGCUUUCCUCCAGACCCUACAGUGUACUUCCAGUCCACAACAGUUUACAACUCACAGUCUCAGGAAUUUGUCAUUUUCUUUCGAACAUGGCUGGCCAAAACAAGAUUGGCUUAUGCUCCUAUGCAAUGUACUUCAAGUGUUGCACUUUCCUCCAACAAAGACCUCUAUACCUGCUUUAUUGCUGAAAAUAAAAUCC
rnacentral:lncRNA from 1 species